rnacentral:tRNA from 1 species
GCGCGAGUGGCGAAAUUGGCAGACGCAGCGGACUUAAAAUCCGCAGAUCCUUUGAUGGAUCGUAGGGGUUCGAUUCCCCUCUCGCGCA